rnacentral:lncRNA from 1 species
CACAUUUUUGGUUUUUUUACUUCCAUGGUGGGAGUCAAGGGUGAGUGUUCCCUGUAUUUAAUGACUCUACCACAGGAAUAAAGAAACAAAAGACAGUAAGAGAAAGGGCAGGAGAAAAAUGUCCUGAAUGUGAAGCCAAGAUUCUAACCGCUUCAGUGAUCACAAAAAUAAGAGUGAGAGUGAGUACUAUGAUGUGACUUGAAUAAAACUUUCCUUAACGGCUAGACCCUACGUAAAUAAGUUGGUCGAAAGGAAAUCAGGGUUCUAUACUUACUGUAGUUUAUGUCGUUGGAGAUUUUUGCUGCAAGUCUCAAAGCAGAUUAUUUUGAAAACAAAACCUCGCAGCCCCACCGCCUUACUCAACCACACAGCUUUUAAAGAACUGACCACUUAAAAGCAUGACCUGAUGCUUUGCUUUUGUUGCAAAAACUUCAGGGACAUAUUUUCACAAUGGGAAAUU